GAGGAAGAUUUUCAUAUAUACAUCCGAGGAAGUCAAGAAGUUAUCACCCAAGAUUAAACUCCCAGUCAAUGAAGAGAUUAAAGCAACCAAAGCUGAUACUGAACCUGAUACAGCAGUUAACAUGGACGACCAAUCAUCUGUUGUUGGGCCUGGGUGCUAAUAAGCCCAAGCAAUUCUACCAUGAAUGGCUGUUAAGGGGUUAGGAAAAGAAGUGAUAAAGAGGGAGAAUUUGGCGAAGAUCAUGUUUGUAUUAUAGUGGUGCAUGCGGAAUGGCCAGUGACAUUUCCAGACAUGCACGCUAAAUUACUGUUCAGAUGGAUGGUGGCUGUUUGCUGAACGUCAUUUGUGGAGAGUGAGACUGUUAUCUUUAAAAAUAGGUUUUCGGUUUUUACUUUGUAUUAUUUUGCAAGAAAACUUGUAGUGCUUGUUUGUUUGGAUUCAAGUAGGCUGAA
rnacentral:misc_RNA from 1 species